GAGAGAGAGAGAGAGAGAGAGAGAGAGUUUUGCUAGAAUACUAUCAGUAGUAAAUGAGCCGUUUUACUACCUAUUUGUUUUCGAUGAUAGAGCUUCCAAAUUGACGAUCGGCUCCGUUGAACAUGAUCUAUACCACUUGAAGUGUUUAGAAAUCAAAUUUCAAAUCUUUUCGACAUCAUUUGCCUAAUGAUCAAAGGGUUUCAAAAUUUGUAGUUUUAAUGGUCGAUAGGAGGCGUUUUCUCGUUUAACGGCGUAAAGAUAUCCAAAUCAAUUAAAUUUUUGUUAGAAAAUUCUUUAAACUAUUUAAAACAAGAUCUAUACUCUUGAUCUUGAU
rnacentral:lncRNA from 1 species